GGGUGAAGGGGAGGAUGAGGUCAGAGAGGUAACAGGGCCAGGCAAGCCAUUGUCAGGAUUUUGGAUUUUACUGUGUACGGAAUGUGUUUGCCAGAACAAUGCGGGAGUUGCAGAGAGAGGUGUCCUGUGUUUGUUCCCAGUCUUCCUUCACUCACCUGCACCUGCUCCUGCCCUGCUUCGGCCAACAUGUUCUAUGCAGGGUGGUUUUGCUGAUGAGACAGCUGCAGUUUGGGGAGUGUGAUAUCAAGGAAAGCAGUGUCUUGAGUCUGUCACUUUCUCUCUCUGUCCCAUUGGGCAGCAGAGUUCAUAUCAAGGGCCCAUGUUUUAACUGAAUAUAAUGAAUUUUUUUUUUCACCUUGGAAGAGUCUUAGAGGCAAGAUUAGAAUGUUCAUCUAAAAGGAGUGCAAAUUUCUUCAACCAUUCCCACGGAGGAAGGUCUACUCUGUGAAAAGGAAAUGAUCAUACAUAAUUCAUGCAUUUGCUGUACGGAUUUAAUUAAAUGAUAGACAAAAAGUAGAGUGGCACAAGUCAAACUCAAAAAAUAGUAACAACAAAAUCAAUUUCAAAAUAAGCAACAGCAAUAAAUGUUACCUACUAUUUUACGAAUGAAAAUACUGAGACCAAUAAAGGCAUUAUAGUAUACAUAGCCUUGGAAUCAGAAGACCAAGAACAUACAAGAGAACAUAGCCUUGGAAUCAGAAGACCAAGAAACAAUUUAACUCUGCCCCUCUAGAGCUCUGAGAACUUGGGCAAGCCUUUUACCCUCUGUGAGUUUCAGUUUCCUCAUUUAUUUAAUUGAAAUAAUAAUACAGAUCACCUGAAAUGUAAUGAAAAUUAAACAUCCUUAUGUAGGUGAAACCAACUGGCAGCAUGCCUGGAAUAUAGUGAGUGCUCAUUCGGUCUCUUGUAUUUUCUUUCUAUACCCUACUUCUGUUCCCUUGGAUUCAUAUACCUGAAUUGGAAACACCCAAAGUCAAAAAGAAUAAGAAAAAUCUUUAGAAAUGUAGCAUAUUACCAAGAUCUGCAAAUUUCUGCCCAGAGCAGAUGGUUCUAAUAAAGAAAGUCGGAUCUUAUGUUGAGUUCUUUUCUGUCCAAGAAUAGAAGACCUUCCCUCUUCUCCAGUAGUGAAGAAUAGGAUUCAUCAGCCUUGGGGGCAAAGUUAAAAACUUGCUCUAGAAAGUGGCCUGGAUAGUCAGAAACUGCUUAGACUCACUCCAUCUGUUCUAUACACAUACACACACCUUUGUUUGUCAGUAAAAUAUUCAAUGAGACUUGAUAGUCCAAUCCUUUGAAACCAGAAUAAUAUUUGAAAUUUUGAUGAUUUUAUCUAACUGCUAAUAUCACUUGCAGGUCAUCAGUGUUUUACAUCCAACAAACUAAUGGUCAUUUGCUGCUUUAUAAAGAGCCGAUAUAAUUUUGUCUUCCUUGUUAUUAAAGGAUCAAGCAAGGGUGUUUCUGUACCAGUUCAACUUUCCUUAUUUGCUUAUUAGUCAGUAAUAUUCAAGAAAAUCCUAGUUUUAAAAAAUGUCAUUACAUGUUAAACUGUGGAAAGAGUCACCAUCAUUUGAAUAAAUCUUGAGUAAGCCCA
ensembl:lncRNA JUN-DT JUN divergent transcript